ensembl:miRNA Mir30f microRNA 30f
UGGCAGGCUGCCGCUGUAAACAUCCGACUGAAAGCUCCUCUCAACACCUUACAGCUUCCAGUCAAGGAUGUUUACAGUAGCAAAGACUGCCC